CUCUCUGUGAUGAGAACCUUUUCACAGACCUGUACUGAGCUCCGUGAGGAAAAGACUCUCUGAGGAGAC
ensembl:snoRNA SNORD25 Small nucleolar RNA SNORD25